rnacentral:tRNA from 1 species
GCGGGAGUGGCGAAAUGGCAGACGCACCAUCUUGAGGGGGUGGCGCUCACAAGGCGUGGGGGUUCAAGUCCCCCCUCCCGCACCA